UUUGAUCAUGGCUCAUAAUUGAACGCUGGCGGCAUGCUUUACACAUGCAAGUCGGACGGCAGCACAGAGAAGCUUGCUUCUUGGGUGGCGAGUGGCGAACGGGUGAGUAAUAUAUCGGAACGUACCGAGUAAUGGGGGAUAACUAAUCGAAAGAUUAGCUAAUACCGCAUAUUCUCUGAGGAGGAAAGCAGGGGACCUUCGGGCCUUGCGUUAUUCGAGCGGCCGAUAUCUGAUUAGCUAGUUGGUGAGAUAACUGCCCACCAAGGUGACGAUCAGUAGCCGACCUGAGAGGGUGAUCGGCCACAUUGGAACUGAGACACGGUCCAAACUCCUACGGGAGGCAGCAGUGGGGAAUAUUGCACAAUGGGCGAAAGCCUGAUGCAGCAACGCCGCGUGAACGAUGAAGGUCUUCGGAUCGUAAAGUUCUGUUGCAGGGGAAGAUAAUGACGGUACCCUGUGAGGAAGCCCCGGCUAACUACGUGCCAGCAGCCGCGGUAAUACGUAGGGGGCUAGCGUUAUCCGGAUUUACUGGGCGUAAAGGGUGCGUAGGUGGUCCUUCAAGUCGGUGGUUAAAGGCUACGGCUCAACCGUAGUAAGCCGCCGAAACUGGAGGACUUGAGUGCAGGAGAGGAAAGUGGAAUUCCCAGUGUAGCGGUGAAAUGCGUAGAUAUUGGGAGGAACACCAGUAGCGAAGGCGGCUUUCUGGACUGCAACUGACACUGAGGCACGAAAGCGUGGGUAGCAAACAGGAUUAGAUACCCUGGUAGUCCACGCUGUAAACGAUGAGUACUAGGUGUCGGGGGUUACCCCCCUCGGUGCCGCAGCUAACGCAUUAAGUACUCCGCCUGGGGAGUACGCACGCAAGUGUGAAACUCAAAGGAAUUGACGGGGACCCGCACAAGUAGCGGAGCAUGUGGUUUAAUUCGAAGCAACGCGAAGAACCUUACCUAAGCUUGACAUCCCUCGGACAGGUGUUUAAUCACACCCUUCCUUCGGGACUGAGGUGACAGGUGGUGCAUGGUUGUCGUCAGCUCGUGUCGUGAGAUGUUGGGUUAAGUCCCGCAACGAGCGCAACCCUUGUCUUUAGUUGCCAGCAUUCAGUUGGGCACUCUAGAGAGACUGCCAGGGAUAACCUGGAGGAAGGUGGGGAUGACGUCAAAUCAUCAUGCCCCUUAUGCUUAGGGCUACACACGUGCUACAAUGGGUGGUACAGAGGGUUGCCAAACCGUGAGGUGGAGCCAAUCCCUUAAAGCCAUUCUCAGUUCGGAUUGUAGGCUGAAACUCGCCUACAUGAAGCUGGAGUUACUAGUAAUCGCAGAUCAGAAUGCUGCGGUGAAUGCGUUCCCGGGUCUUGCACACACCGCCCGUC
rnacentral:rRNA from 1 species